rnacentral:rRNA from 1 species
UACGAAGGGGGCUAGCGUUGCUCGGAAUUACUGGGCGUAAAGGGCGCGUAGGCGGACAGUUUAGUCAGAGGUGAAAGCCCAGGGCUCAACCUUGGAAUUGCCUUUUGAUACUGGCUGUCUUGAGUUCGGGAGAGGUGAGUGGAAUGCCGAGUGUAGAGGUGAAAUUCGUAGAUAUUCGGCGGAACACCAGUGGCGAAGGCGACUCACUGGCCCGUAUACUG